UUUUAAGGUGCAUUUGUCGCCAGUGAAGCUGCACCUGAAGGACACGAGCUUGAACGUCGUCAAGUUGUAGUCGACCUCUGCGCUUGUCUUCCGAUUAUUUCCGAUUGCCCUAGCGGAAGUUGCACAGUGGGGAGCGGGUGCAAGAAAUGCGCCGAUGCCUCGCUAUGCCUUUGUAUUGAUGUCGCUUGCCCUGGGAACAGUUGCACAUCGGCAAGCAAGUGUAAGACAUGCUCCGGCUAAGGAUGAACAACAUGGUUGACCGGCAUCUCUUAACUACGAAAUGAUCAAUUGCACGUAUAUGAAAUAAGAGACCCUGGUAUUCUGUUUUACCAACAUGAUCAUGGGUGGCGGGAACUUUUGAGGGCAAUAAAUUGUACUAAGCAGCA